AGUUUAACUCUCUGGAUCUUGUGAAGGGCUUGCAUGGGUAAACACAGCUGCUGUGAAUGUGUGUGUGUAACAGCCAUGGUGUGUUCAGAGGCCAGCUUCUCACAGUAUUCCUCACCAUUCAUCAGGUUUUUACACUCACUCUUUCCAUAGCUUCUUCAAUACUGUUUCCUGAGCCUUGAAGUAGUGGACAAGCCCGGUGAUUCACUCUUGAUCUUUGGACAAUAUUCAGAACGAAGCAGGAAGAAAGCAAGCGGUAGUCUUUUGUGAGUACCUAAGUCUUCAUUUUUCUUCAGUUCCUUUCUUAUUGCCUUUAAGAGGAACAUAAUUCUUCAUCAGCUAUCAUAGCCUCAGAGCAAGCCUUGUCACUUGGAGCUGUAUCUUCAGGUUUCACCUUUUCCUUUGUAGGCAUGAAGGUCCUCUCCAAGAACUCAGCAAAGCUGACUGGAAUCCAGGCAUUUCUUUCUGUUCUCCUGGAAGUCUGCAGGAAGACAGCUCCUGGGCCUUUUCUUCCUCCAGCCAACCAAGUCUCCUUCACCCAAGAGCAACAAUUGUGGUAAUAAAACUAGAUACCAACUCUUAUCUCAGGUUAGUAAUAAAGUUGUUGCCUACUAUCUAGAAAUGUACCUGCCUUUUCUUUUUUCUUUCCUUUUCUCUUUCCUUUCCUUUCCUUUCCUUUCCUUUCCUUUCCU